AUUUUACUCCCUCCGUACAACAAAAGAUGUCUCAAGUUUAUCAAAAUUUGGACGUAUUUAGACAUGACUUAGUGUAUAAAUGCAUUCAAAUUUAAUCAAAAUUGAUACAUUCUUUAUUGGACGGAUGAUUAGUAAAUU
rnacentral:pre_miRNA from 1 species